UACGUUCACGAAUAAUCUCACCUCCUUUUUUCUCUGCUCAAUUUCAUCGAACACAGAGUGUAUAUGUUGAAGGUAGGGUUGUAAAAUUCGACGCUUGUCGUUUUUCCUGAUUUUCAUAACAAGCGAUUUCCGGCCUGUGUUUUCGUCCUGUUCAUUGAUCCAACAAACUCUGGCGCUGAGGAAAUUGUCAACGACGAUUUGGUUUGAAUCCAAAACGAAGGCCUGUGUUUUCGUCUUGUUCAUUGAUCCAACAAACUCUGGCGCUGAGGAAAUUGUCAACAACGAUUUGGUUUGGAUCCAAAACGAGGUUGAUUUCAUUGGACUUGUCGCCGGAGAAAAGGUUGGUGAAAUCAGAAUCUUCAACACACGGCAGAGAAUUCAGAUAAGUGCAAACUUUUCUAUACAAUUGAUUUUCCUGCAUGUUGUGGUUGACUUGCGGGACUCUGUAGAACUGGUACACAUAACAACCGUCCUCGAACAAUCGCCACCAUUUCUUCAGAAUUUGCACUAACGAAGUUUUCAAUACAAACUUCAGAAGAAAACAUGAAGCAAUAAUUGCAAUCACAUACAGAAACAUGAUUAAAUAAAGGGGUAUGAAAUGAAAUCAAACAGGAAAUGAACUAAAAUGAUGAUAAGAACAAGGUGGACGAAAUCAUGAAUAUUGUAGUAAAGAAAGAAUAUAAAGUGCUGAGAAAAGCAUAAAGAAAUUAGUAGCAAUAAAGUGUAUAAAUUAAGAGGAUGGGCGAUUGGCAGGUUGGAACAAUGAAUAAGUCUUUAUAAAUGAAUUUGAUGUCUUUGAAAUAAGGAGACGGCUACAGACA
rnacentral:lncRNA from 1 species